UACGAAGGCAGCAGUGGGGAAUAUUGCACAAUGGGCGCAAGCCUGAUGCAGCCAUGCCGCGUGUAUGAAGAAGGCCUUCGGGUUGUAAAGUACUUUCAGUCGUGAGGAAGGUGUUAAGGUUAAUAACCUUAGCAAUUGACGUUAGCGACAGAAGAAGCACCGGCUAACUCCGUGCCAGCAGCCGCGGUAAUACGGAGGGUGCGAGCGUUAAUCGGAAUUACUGGGCGUAAAGGGCACGCAGGCGGUUAAUUAAGUUGGAUGUGAAAUCCCCGGGCUUAACCUGGGAAUGGCAUUCAAGACUGGUUAGCUAGAGUCUUGUAGAGGGGGUAGAAUUCCAUGUGUAGCGGUGAAAUGCGUAGAGAUGUGGAGGAAUACCGGUGGCGAAGGCGGCCCCUGGCAAAGGACUGACGCUCAUGUGCGAAAGGCGUGGGGAGCGAAACAGGGAUUACGAUACC
rnacentral:rRNA from 1 species